AGGAUGAACGCUGGCGGCGUGCCUAAUACAUGCAAGUCGAACGAGGUCUUCGGACCGAGUGGCGAACGGGUGAGUAACACGUUGGUACCUAUCCCGAAGUGGGGAAUAACUGCCCGAAAGGGUGGCUAAUACCGCAUAAUACCGCAAGGUUAAAGCAGUAAUGCGCUUCGGGAGGGGCCUGCGUCCCAUUAGCUAGUUGGUAGGGUAAUGGCCUACCAAGGCGACGACGGGUAGCC
rnacentral:rRNA from 1 species